UGUGCAUUCUUUCAAUGGUAGGAAGCCUCUCUGAUACGGAGGUAAUGAUAGUUCGAUUCUGUCAUGCACAA
rnacentral:tRNA from 1 species